AGAACGAACGCUGGCGGCAUGCCUAACACAUGCAAGUCGAACGAGACCUUCGGGUCUAGUGGCGCACGGGUGCGUAACGCGUGGGAAUCUGCCCUUGGGUUCGGAAUAACAGCGAGAAAUUGCUGCUAAUACCGGAUGAUGACGUAAGUCCAAAGAUUUAUCGCCCAAGGAUGAGCCCGCGUAGGAUUAGCUUGUUGGUGAGGUAAGAGCUCACCAAGGCGACGAUCCUUAGCUGGUCUGAGAGGAUGAUCAGCCACACUGGGACUGAGACACGGCCCAGACUCCUACGGGAGGCAGCAGUGGGGAAUAUGGACAAUGGGCGAAAGCCUGAUCCAGCAAUGCCGCGUGAGUGAUGAAGGCCUUAGGGUGUAAAGCUCUUUUACCCGGAUGAUAAUGACAGUACCGGAGAAUAAGCUCCGGCUAACUCCGUGCCAACAGCCGC
rnacentral:rRNA from 1 species